rnacentral:rRNA from 1 species
AUUAGAGUUUGAUCCUGGCUCAGAUUGAACGCUGGCGGCAUGCCUUACACAUGCAAGUCGAACGGCAGCACGGAGCUUGCUCUGGUGGCGAGUGGCGAACGGGUGAGUAAUAUAUCGGAACGUACCCUAGAGUGGGGGAUAACGUAGCGAAAGUUACGCUAAUACCGCAUACGAUUUAAGGAUGAAAGUGGGGGAUCGCAAGACCUCAUGCUCGUGGAGCGGCCGAUACCUGAUUAGCUAGUUGGUAGGGUAAAAGCCUACCAAGGCAUCGAUCAGUAGCUGGUCUGAGAGGACGACCAGCCACACUGGAACUGAGACACGGUCCAGACUCCUACGGGAGGCAGCAGUGGGGAAUUUUGGACAAUGGGCGAAAGCCUGAUCCAGCAAUGCCGCGUGAGUGAAGAAGGCCUUCGGGUUGUAAAGCUCUUUUGUCAGGGAAGAAACGGUGAAAGCUAAUAUCUUUUGCUAAUGACGGUACCUGAAGAAUAAGCACCGGCUAACUACGUGCCAGCAGCCGCGGUAAUACGUAG